rnacentral:rRNA from 1 species
CUGCCAAUACCCGUGGUAAUACUUAAGUGGCAAGUGUUGUCCGGAUUUAUUGCGCGUAUAGGGAGCGCAGUGGUUUCUUAGUCUGAUGUGAAAGCCCACGGCUUAACCGUGGAGGGUCAUUGGAAACUGGGAAACUUGAGUACAGAAGAGGAAUGUGGAACUCCAUGUGUAGCGGUGGAAUGCGUAGAUAUAUGGAAGAACACCAGUGGCGAAGGCGACAUUCUGGUCUGUUACUGACACUGAGGCUCGAAAGCGUGGGGAGCAAACAGGAUUAGAUACCCUGGUAGUCC